GGGCGAAGCCCUGACGCAGCAACGCCGCGUGAGUGAUGAAGGCCUUCGGGUCGUAAAGCUCUGUCAGAGGGGAAGAAAUGUGGGGCGGUUUAUAUCCCAUCAUCCUGACGGUACCCUCUAAG
rnacentral:rRNA from 1 species